rnacentral:tRNA from 3 species
CGGGAUAUAGCGCAGUUUGGUAGCGCGCCUGCUUUGGGAGCAGGAUGUCGGGGGUUCGAAUCCCUCUAUCCCGA